CGCAGCCCUGCCAGGGCAGGCACGAGCGUAGCUGCCAUCGAAGCACUGUACUCAUUGGCCCUCUGCUGGGCCUCGGGGGUAAAUUUGGUUACAGACACCA